AUUGAACAAAUUCACACGAAGAUCUGUACGUUUCGCAAGAGUCUGUGUAAAAAUAACAAAAUCUUGAUACUUGAACUUCGUGAAACGUGGCGUGGUCGUGGUUUAAUCGAAGAAGUACCUCGACAGGGAUCUUAAAUGAUUCGCGAGCAGCUAUCGGUCCCGAAACUUGACGAUUCGACGACUCACGGGUCCUCCGUCUAUCGGGAUCGUCCGAUUAUUUAUACUAUAAGCAAAAUACCCACGAGCUCCCGGGCACACUCGUAAUUCGAACGAGGGAUCACCGCUGGCCUGUCAAAAAACGAAAUACCAUCCGGUCCGCUUCGAGCCUCCACGUCCACUCGAGUGUGGUAUAUUAUGAAUGAACCAACGGGUGCAGAGAGAAGAGAGAGAGUGACUCGAGUCUCUCGAGCCUCUCCAGGCUCAAUGGAACCGAGAGAAAAAUCCGUGUGGUCAUUUUUCGAAUGCACAAUGAGCAGUCGCUCUCUCGCCUCUCGCCUCUCGGGUUCCUGCGCUCUCCGUCCGCCCUGAUCGAAUCUGCGUGUUGCUGCGUCACAACAGUGACACACACUGCCUCGGGAUUCCUGGGAGGGGAGAACCGAGAAACGUGAAGACGCCUGGUGAACGGAAAGGUGAAAGAGAAAGAACUUGGACGCGGCUCACAAUGAGCAUCGCCGAUGACUUAGCGUCGAGGAAGGAGGCCCCCGUUAGGGCUAUUUAUGCGAUCUCAUUCCGAGACGAGGUGACACGGCCACGUCGCCGUAAACAAUGCCGUUUCACGAGGGAAGAAUGUCCACUGAUUCGAUUAACGGCGAUGAUUGGUUGGUAUCUUGCCUUUGGUCCUCGAGACUCUUUGGAAUUCUUUCUUUCGAGAAAGAGGAGAGGCUUCUGGGAACCGUGCCUAGGAACGUUCCAGUGAAGGAACUGGAAGUGAAGCGUCGAGCCAGGUAGCUAGUUAUCGUAAAUUUGUGGAAAUGGCGGAAAGGCACGUAGGAGACACUCGAUACCCCUUGCCUCGAUCACGAAGCUUCUCGAUCGAUCAUGCGAAAGCGUGAUCCAGACGGCGUUGGGUGAAUCGUUGGAUCCAUCGGUCAAGUCGUUGACAUUUUGACGAGGCGCAAGGAACGUCUGGCGUCACGUAAAAAAGCCGUUCGUCUUCGGGAAGGCAUCCACCCACCGUCGACAGGUCUGACGCCUUCCGAGGGCCUGAUGUGAGGUCUCCGGGACGCGGACCACACGCGCACAUACACACGCGCGACGGUUUGAAGGGUCUUCAGCCGUCAGAAGCCGUUUCGAAACUUAACGGACGUUAAUUACGACUCGGUCAAUUUCUGUAAUUGGGCUCGCUCACUGGCUGCGAUUUAUUCCUACUCGACUUUCGUGCAGAUGUUAACCAAUCCGCGACGAUUAUCGAUGGAGUCUCGAUACCGGCUAUUGAAAAACUCCGGUUUCUGUUUUUUCUUUAUAUCCACAGGACCGCUGUAUCUCCGUGUAACGAACAAUUUCACGGCCUGCUUUGGUCGUUAGGGGAGCCCUGUUAGGUGUUAACGACCAGCGGAAACGAUUCUUGGUCACGAUCCCGCCCACCGAUUUUAGCGGAACAGGAAAGUGUCGUCGGAUAUGUGACCGUCCUUCAGGAAGUAAAUGAUCGAGAAACCAAGCUCCGUUUGUGUAAACACGACGGUUUGUCGGAGAAGCAUGUUCGUUUAAUUACAGUAGCCGUGAUUUACAAAGGAGUCGAUGUCAUACCUUCAGAUUCGCUCUUAAAUUGCAAUGCUCAUUUUUUAUAAAAUUUCUUGUAGGAGCCCCAAUACAUUCCAUCAUUCAUAUUAAUAAUACGAAUAGUUGAUGUUAAUAGUUACUUACUUCGUAAAAAUUAUUUAUUCGUUUUUAUAAAGUACUUAUACUUUAACAAGGAAAACAUUCUCAAGUUUUAUACUAGUAAUACAAUUUAUGAUUGACCAGCAGGUUUCACACGAAAUUUCGCGAAACUACAAGUUUACAACUCCCUAGAUUCCCUAGAUCUUCCCUCCAACCUCCUCCAGCUUCUUCCCGCAUAAAAAAUGCGUCAGUUCGAUACCUUUCGCGCAAGUCGAAGCCUCAGCUUUCCCCUCGGUUUUCCCUUCAGUGGGCGCAUAGAAAAAGCAGCGAUACAUCGCGCGAUACGAUGCUUGUUUGCACAGGGUCGUUCAAAUGCAUGGAAAUCCGAGUUCCUACGGUUGUCACUUUGAAAACGGUCCCGACGGUCGCAGCCGAUUUCCUCCGUGAAGCUCGCGACGCAGACGCUGGGUGGUUCCGCUAUCAAACGGUUGAACGCCUUCGAAGACGAAUGUCUCUCAUCUCCAGCACGAUUUUUUCUUCUUCUUCGCGCCCCGUCACCCCUUUCUACUUCCUUUUCCUAGCUUGGGAGCUUUCAAGCCCCAUUACCGUCGCUUUGAAACACGCUACGCGACGUUUUUAUUGCUCUAUUAUUGGCCACGGGCUCGAGGCUCCACCGCAAAAGAUUGCAUUUCGACAAAAACGCGUCUCGAACUCCCGUUCUCCUGGCAUCGUAAAACGAGCGACGUCUUCAAUUUCUUACUCGUUUAUUUGUAAUAAAAGAAUUAAAAAGUACGCAAGCGAUGUUUGGAUCGCGUGACCGAUGCCGUUUUCACGAAGG